GCGUCAAAGCGUACCUUUCCAACCAAUCCAAAACAUGUGUUUUUCCCCCUGACUCCUCACCGAGCAACUCUAUUCAAUAAUAGAAGAACUAAUGCUAAAACUAGUAAUAAGAACCAAUUCUCCUUACACACCCUUCAAUCAGAAAUAGAUAAACUACUGAAAAUUAACAAACUAAAAAAAAGAACAAAAUACUAACCUCAAGCAAAAAUUUCACACAAUUUGUGACACCAACACAGGAGUGUUUUAAGGAAAGAUUAAAAGCCCAACAAGGAAUUCAGCUAAUAGACUCCAACUGUUUACCAAAAACAUAGCCUUUAGCACCACAAGUAUUAAAGGUCUCGCCUGCCCAGUGAUUCUUUUUAACGGCCGCGGUAUCCUAACCGUGCAAAGGUAGCGUAAUCAUUUGUCUCCUAAAUAGAGACUCGUAUGAACGGCUAACUGAGAGCCUAACUGUCUCCUAAGGCCAAUCAAUGAAACUGAUCUUCCAGUACAAAAGCUGAAAUACACCCAUAAGACGAGAAGACCCUGUGGAGCUUAAAACACACACUAUUUUUUGCCUUUCCCCCCACGGAAUUAACACUCAAAACAUAGUGACAAGCCUUUUUAGUUGGGGCGACUUUGGAACAAAAGAAAACUUCCAUGAAAGGGUACUCCCUACCAAGGCCAACUAGCCAAAAUAACUUUUAUUGACCCAGACAUCUGAUCAAC
rnacentral:rRNA from 1 species